CACCAUCCAGGAGGUGAUGGGCCUCGUACCCUCCAACUGUGGUAACCGGGAAAUUGUCACCUAUGAUUUGUCCUGCAGGGAUACAUCAACUGAAUCUUAUCAUGAGAAAACAUCAGAAACACCCCAAGGGAAGGAAAUAUAAAAUGACUGGUCUGUGUUCUUCCAAAAUGCCAAUGUCAUAAAAAUUUAAAAAAGAAGGGGGCUGGGGAAGAAGAAACACAGUGGAGCAACCCCAUCUGAUUAAAGGAAACAAAAGGUCAGGACAACUAAACGUCACAUACAAGCCUCAGCUGGAGCGUAGGGCGAGGCUCCUGUAGGGCGUGAUCUCCCGUGGUCUGCAGUUCCGCUUCCGCCCUGUCAGUUACCUUGGACCCUCGGACCGGAAGCAGAUGAUCCUCCCCGGCCCGCAGGUCAGAGGCGGUGCGAGCCUGAGCUACUGCUGCACGCCCGCGCCUGCGCAGUCACACUCUCGGCACCCAGGAGCGCAUUUUCUCCUCUCCCGCCGCCGUCGCGAGAAGGGUGAGCGGGCACCUUCCCGUACGCUCAUUACGUUCUGUCGUUCCAGGUGCCGUUACUCAUUCCGUGCCUACGACCUGUGCCAUCCACGUGUGGAAAGAGUACCGAUUGCUCAUUUUCGUCUACGUUCAGAAAGGGGCGAGUGCUAAAGUUUCCUCCAGGAUGACUCUUCAGUUCUUGUGGCUGAAUUGAAACAAUGAAAGGCACAAGGCAAUGUAAUCUAGGAAGAAUAGAAGAGGAAGAACUAAAUGCAGUCUUAGAAUCUUGGGAGCCUGUUUACUCCGAUUCAUCCCCGGGAGACUGAGCAAACAACCCAUCGCUGUGUGCAUUCACUGAGGUGAUGCCGUCCCACACGCAUGGCCUGAGCAAGCCGCCAGCAACAGACUGGAUGUGAAUUUCGGGCACCAGCGGAACAGAAGCACUGAACGUCGUUUCUUUUUAAAGCAAGGCAACAAAAGUUGUUCUUAAGGGAGUAUCAGGGCUUCAUUGAAUUUCAUUACAAGUAAUUUUUUUUUGUAAAUUUUUUUAAUGUUUUUAUUUAUUUUUAAGAGAGAGCAGGACAAAGCGUGAGCAGGGGAGGGGCAGAGAGAGAGGGAGACACAGAAUCCGGAGCAGACUCUAGGCUCUGAGCCGUCAGCACAGAGCCCAAUGCGGGGCUCAAACCUACGAACUGUGAGAUCAUGACCUGAGCCACCCUCAGGCUCUCAACCGACUGAGCCACCUAGGCGCGCCUCAGAAGAGAAUUCACCCUUAGCUUCGAGGGUGAGGAUGUGGCCUGAAUAUCUCCAAUCAGAAUGAAUCUCAGGAAUCUCGUUCGGAAACAUUCCCUUGUGGAACAUGGACUUACAAUCAAAUUACACAGAAGAAAGGCAAGACUGGAAAUAUAAAGUGCCUUGUUCAAGAUCAUCAGCAGUGGACAGCAGUAAGUAUUCGGACCCAAAUUCUCCACGAAGCAUGUAAGUCGAAUAUUCUAUGGCAGUCUCUACUCCUACAAUAAUCUAGUAUUCUAAAAUAUUA